UUUUUUUUUUUUAGAAGACUGCUCUAAAACCACUCGUUAUCCCAUAUUAACAUUUUGCUUUAUGCUUAUGUAUACAUGAUUGAGAAGCUGCAAGACCUGGCCAACUAUCAACUCCCGCUGCCUUCAAGAGGAGGAAGCAGCUGUUUGAGAAGAUGCUGCUUCUUGCAGCUGAUAGCUGCUUCCUCUCCACAGACUUGGAUUGCUGCCUCUAAUCUCUACUGCACUAGCUUCCAUUUCAGGAGAACGAAAUGCCUACCAAAGAGAACAGGAGCAUUUCUCUCUUUCUCAGCAUAGAAGAAUGACAUAGAAUGAAGAUGAAACACUGUUCAGUGAUGCCAGUACUUAGCAUCAAUGUUGUUAGAGAAAGACAUAUUAAAGCAGCUGAAAAGAUACUGGAGUGGUCACCUUACAUUCAUGAUCAAACCUUCUUCCUCUAAAAAGAUAAAACAGAUAGGGUUAACAGUACCAGUACUCCAUACAUCUACCACCUGCACACAAGUCAAAAUAUGAGAGGCAGAGUCAUAAGUACUAACGUUAGCAUCAUUUUUAGCUGAUUAUUCUUUUCUGUUGACUCAACCAGAGGUAACUAAAAUGAAUUUGUCUGUCAGAGACAACAUAGGCACAAAGGCAACUAUAUGAGGCAGAUGAACAAAAUCUAUCCAGAAGCUAAGGAGCUCUAGUGAAAACCAAGAAUUCCCUAGCAAAAUUAUAAUGCAUUUACUCCAAAAGAAAUCAAAAUGCAUUAUACAUUUAAUUGACAUUUCUUCCUUACACAAACAGGAGAAAUUCCUCAAAAAUAAAAUCUCUCCAAGAAAGCCAACUGCAACUUCGAGGGCACACAGAUGCCAUGCAAGGUAGUGUUAAUGUCAGAGACAACUGACAUUGUUGUCUAGAACAAAAUCAGUUAGCAUAUUUACAUAGCAUAUUAAAAUACUGUACAGAAACACUAGUUUCAGUCCAAAUAACAGACUAACUUCAUUAGUAGCAUGCUGCGCAUAGGCUAAAUACUUCUUCAUUGCAAGGUGCAGAUAUACUUUUAAAAUUCCCUCUCACUUCUUAUUUUCAAUGUGAACAUCUUCCUCCCAUUAGCUGAGUGCCAUACCUUUGGAACAUCAUUCCAAGUAGAUGUGUAAUAAAUGAAUGACAGCUCUUCUGUCACGGUAUCAUUCAUGUUCAGGUCUACUGUGUUCUUCCUUUACCUUCUUCACUAAUCCAAUACUUUGCUCUUUCUCACAUGGGUAAGAGCUCAAAUUGUGGAUUUAUGGAACCUAAGGCUAUGAAAAAUAUUAUGAUCAUCCAUGCUGACCUCCUGAAUAAUGCAGACAACAGAAUUACACAAUUCCAAACUAAAUGUACAAACUCCUGCUAAACCAACAGUUUACUGUAUCAAAUAACCUCCAAUCCCAAUUGAAAAGACUUCAGGCUUUAAAGAGUCCAUCAUAUUCCUAUACUAUUUGUUCCACUGGUUAAGUACACUGACUAUAAAAUUAAAUCUUAUCUAAAUCUGCCUAACUUCACCUACCAUGCAUCAAACUGCUUAGCUUUUUACCAGAUGCUACCUACCUACCAGAUGCAAGAAAUCUCUAGGUUUCUCAAAGUUUUAAUUAACUCUUUUCUUAACCAACUGCUGUUAAAUCAGCUUUCUAGUUUCUCUCAGUCACGGUGGGCUGAGGAAAAUAAUAUUAACCCAAUUUAGAAAGUAUUUUGGAGAACUAGUAAACACAAGGCUUAUGGAGAAACUUAUAGGCAAAAAUAUACACUGAACACAGGAGGAGAAAGAUAGAAUAACAAGCAACCAUAAAGCUGGAAAAAUGAUCUUGCCUUAGUUAUCUAGUCUGCUUUCAAAAACAUAUCAUCAGACUGAGGAACUUCACCAGUGGAUUUAUUUAAAAUAUUCAGCUGUUUGAAACAAAACUCUGUUUUGAUCACUUAGAGCAAAACUGAACAGAAUUGAAACAGUCUUAUUUGCACAUGAAUUGAAAAUAAAAGCAAAAUUAAGCCCAUUAUAUUAAGAAGGGAUGGCCUCAUUCAAAAUUUUGGCAUUUACCAUGAGUUAAAAUACUAAUUUGUUCUUCAUCUUUCAACAUUAUUUCACAACUUUUUUUUUCGAAUUGUCAUAAGAAGCAUGUUCAUGUAAGUUAAUGUGUAUUGAAAUAAAACCAGCUAAACAGAAUCAAAAUGUUUAAUAUAUUGCCCCAAGGAACUCCUGAGGAAAAGGGCAAGCUUACUUACUUUUAUUAGAAGUUUAGACUGAACUACAGGUUAAAGGUUCUGUAACAUACUAACAACACAGUUUCCUUCAGAGUAUAGUUUUUGGAAGCUUACCAAGACAAAUUUUAACUCCUUGUACAACUCUAACCCUGUUUGCUAUACAAACUUCUUUGCCUCAUUCAUCUCCUUCCAUAAACUCAUAACUGCCACAAGGACUGGAAGUAAAAUUAUUUUUCUAACUCACAGUGAAAACACAAUAUUUAUAAUUUUCUAUAGCUCCAUCCUUUUCCCUACAUGAACAGAUUCCAUCUCCUUUGCAAAACAACAACAUAAACAAUGAAUAAUUAUUAUAUGAAUAUUUUAAAAAUCAAGGUUCUAUACAACAUUGGAUUCUACAAAUUUCCUACAAGUGAGCUAAAAGAAAAUCAUGUUUGACCAAACCAGAUUUCACAUAAAACUGAUAAUUAUACAGGUAUGCUUGAAGAUCUCUGAAAAAAUGCUAAAGCUUCAUGAUGAGCAACAGAAAGAAACAACGUAUGGAACCAGGAAAUUAUUUUACAGAACAAGAAGAAAAAUGCUAUUAGGAUAAAAAUAUAAAAGCAAAGUGAUCUAACCAAUUGUAACCAAUGUAAAAAUAAGACACUCCAUUCAGAGAGAGCAAGGACAUUUCCUGAAGUGUUACAUUAGUCAGAAUAAAGUAGGCCAUUUGAGAGAAGUCUGAAUGAACAGAAAGCUAGAAUUUUAACAAGAAAAUUCACGUUGACCAGCUCUUCAUAUUCCUAGGGACUAUAAACCAGAUGUAAGUUUCAAAUUUUCUAUUUUUUUUUUCCAACAAGUCUAGUUAAUUGCUUAAUUAGGAAUUAUAACAGCUGUACUGUAAGACAGAAAACCACUAAUUAGAAAUAUAAGAGAGACAGGACCUCUAAUGCAAUUUCUGUGCUGGUCUUUCCUAUCUAAUACCACUCUUAAAGGAACACUCUUAUUAGAUGCCUAUAUAAGACUAAAGUUCACAAAAAAUAUUCUUCACAUUUCACUUAUCCCAUGAAUGAUAAUGCAAAUAUCUUGCCUUCUACAAAAAAAA
rnacentral:lncRNA from 1 species